AUUGAACGCUGGCGGCAGGCCUAACACAUGCAAGUCGAGCGGAUGAAGGGAGCUUGCUCCUGGAUUCAGCGGCGGACGGGUGAGUAAUGCCUAGGAAUCUGCCUGGUAGUGGGGGACAACGUUUCGAAAGGAACGCUAAUACCGCAUACGUCCUACGGGAGAAAGCAGGGGACCUUCGGGCCUUACGCUAUCAGAUGAGCCUAGGUCGGAUUAGCUAGUUGGUGAGGUAAUGGCUCACCAAGGCGACGAUCCGUAACUGGUCUGAGAGGAUGAUCAGUCACACUGGAACUGAGACACGGUCCAGACUCCUACGGGAGGCAGCAGUGGGGAAUAUUGGACAAUGGGCGAAAGCCUGAUCCAGCCAUGCCGCGUGUGUGAAGAAAGUCUUCGGAUUGUAAAGCACUUUAAGUUGGGAGGAAGGGUUGUAGAUUAAUACUCUGCAAUUUUGACGUUACCGACAGAAUAAGCACCGGCUAACUCUGUGCCAGCCGCCGCAGUAA
rnacentral:rRNA from 1 species